rnacentral:rRNA from 1 species
UACGUAGGGUGCAAGCGUUGUCCGGAAUUAUUGGGCGUAAAGAGCUCGUAGGCGGUUUGUCGCGUCGAAUGUGAAAACCCUGGGCUCAACCCCGGGCCUGCAUUCGAUACGGGCAGACUAGAGUUCGGUAGGGGAGACUGGAAUUCCUGGUGUAGCGGUGGAAUGCGCAGAUAUCAGGAGGAACACCGGUGGCGAAGGCGGGUCUCUGGGCCGAUACUGACGCUGAGGAGCGAAAGCAUGGGUAGCGAACAGG